rnacentral:rRNA from 1 species
GACGAACGCUGGCGGCGUGCUUAACACAUGCCAGUCGAACGGAAAGGCCCUGCUUUUGUGGGGUGCUCGAGUGGCGAACGGGUGAGUAACACGUGAGUAACCUGCCCUUGACUUUGGGAUAACUUCAGGAAACUGGGGCUAAUACCGGAUAGGAGCUCCUGCUGCAUGGUGGGGGUCGGAAAGUUUCGGCGGUUGGGGAUGGACUCGCGGCUUAUCAGCUUGUUGGUGGGGUAGUGGCUUACCAAGGCUUUGACGGGUAGCCGGCCUGAGAGGGUGACCGGCCACAUUGGGACUGAGAUACGGCCCAGACUCCUACGGGAGGCAGCAGUGGGGAAUAUUGCACAAUGGGCGGAAGCCUGAUGCAGCAACGCCGCGUGCGGGAUGACGGCCUUCGGGUUGUAAACCGCUUUCGCCUGUGACGAAGCGUGAGUGACGGUAAUGAGUAAAGAAGCACCGGCUAACUACGUG